rnacentral:siRNA from 1 species
UCAAAAUUUAUUGGUCAACUCAAC